AGAACAUUCCAAGCGAUGGCCUAAUGUCGGCUAUGUUCAUAUCGACUCGUACAUAGACUACUUCUUAUGAAUUAUUUGCCAUUAGUAGAAACGUACAAUGCAUGAAAUUUGUAGACGAUUGAAAUUAAUAGUCGAAUGAAUAAAAUUAGUAGUUGAACAAUCUGAAAAUCUACCUAUAAUUCGAAUGAAUUGCUUAGUCGAAUAUUUAGGCAUAUCGUGGUAUAAAACAUCAGUUUAAAUUUUAAAUUAAAUCUUCUACUGUCAAAACUACACCUAAUUAGUAGUUUUCGGGCUGUCAGAACAAAUACACAGACGUUUCUUAAAUAUCUCAAAUCUAUUUAAAAUUUUAUUACGUAUAUUAGUAUGAUCUACAAUGGACGAAUAUUCAUAAAUAUGGUAAUGCCAAUGCUGACACCCAAAAUCUUUAGCUGACAAUUAAUUAUCCAUUGACUUAGUUUAACGUAGAAACACAAAAUAGUUGUAAUACUUAUCUGCUCUAUCUGUGGGUUUCGGUGUACUGUCCUACCUACUAACCACAAACUAAAUAAAAUACGUUGCUACUAUUUUACCUCGCUAUCCUUGUUUAAUUUCUACUAUAUAGACAUUUAUUCUUUCGUUAUACUCUUUAAAAACGCCAAAGUCACAAUUAGUGA